rnacentral:rRNA from 1 species
CAGUCGCCGCGGUAAUACAGAGGAUGGAAGCGUUAUCCGGAAUGAUUGGGCGUAAAGCGUCUGUAGGUGGCUUUUCAAGUCCGCCGUCAAAUCCCAGGGCUCAACCCUGGACAGGCGGUGGAAACUACUAAGCUGGAGUACGGUAGGGGCAGAGGGAAUUUCCAGUGGAGCGGUGAAAUGCGUUGAGAUCAGAAAGAACACCAACGGUGAAAGCACUCUGCUGGGCCGACACUGACACUGAGAGACGAAAGUUAGGGGAGAAAAUGGGAUUAGAGACCCCCGUAGUCCCUGUCUCUUAUAC